GAGCCAGCCUGGUUCCGGCUCUACAGUGGAAAAGGGGUAUUAGUGAGCCAGCCUGGUUCCAGCUCUACAGUGGAAAAGGGGUAUUAGUGAGCCAGCCUGGUUCCAGCCCUGUUGUGGAAAAGGGUUGUGAUUGAAAAAAUGUAAGGAAAAUGAAAAUGAAAGCCUGUGCAGUGACCCUAUCAAAUCAGACUAAAUCUGAUUGGUUGCUCUUCUGGCCGAUUCCCCUCCCACCCAUUCAGUGAACGCAGAGUGGCAGCUACAUCCCCAACUGUUGCUGGGGGGGACAAAGUGUCUGCAGGUGUUUCCGGUUUCCUUUCAAUCAGCAGCCCAUUUAGGGCUGGGGAAAUUAGGUCUGGGGACUCAUUAGCCAAUCAGAACGAGGUCUUGGGACUCAUUAGCCAAUCAGUGGCUUACAUUAUAUGGUGAAAGUAAGUGAAAAGCGGCAGGUGAUCCCCCAGGGUGCAGGCGGAGGCCCCUGCUUUAGUGGCUGUGCACUGUUCCAGGGUGCAGGUGGAGGUCCCUGCUCCAGGGUGCAGGUGGAGGUCCCUGCUCCAGGAUGCAGGUGGAGGCCCCUGCUUUAGUGGCUAUGCACUGUUCCAGGGUGCAGGUGGAGGUCCCUGCUCCAGGAUGCAGGUGGAGGCCCCUGCUUUAGUGGCUAUGCACUGUUCCAGGGUGCAGGUGGAGGUCCCUGCUCCAGGGUGCUGGUGGAGGUCCCUGCUUUAGUGGUUGUGCACUGUUCCAGGGUGCAGGUGGAGGUCCCUGCUCCAGGGUGCUGGUGGAGGUCCCUGCUUUAGUGAUUGUGCACCGUUCCAGGGUGCAGGUGGAGGUCCCUGUUCCAGGGUGCAGGUGGAGGUCUCUGCUUUACUGGCUGUGCAGUGUUCCAGGGUACAGGUGGAGGUCCCUGUUCCAGGGUGCAGGUGGAGGUCCCUGCUCCAGUGUGCAGGUGGAGGUCUCUGCUUUAGUGGUUGUGCACUGUUCCAGGGUGCAGGUGGAGGUCCCUGUUCCAGGGUGCAGGUGGAGGUCCCUGCUCCAGGGUGCAGGUGGAGGUCCCUGCUCCAGGGUGCAGGUGGAGGUCCCUGCUCCAGGCUGCUGGUGGAGGUCCCUGCUCCAGGGUGCAGGUGGAGGUCCCUGCUUCAGUGGCUGUGCAGUGUUCAGAAGGUGCUGGAAGAGGUUGGGAGGGCAGGACUUCAGUUGAAAAUGCCAAUACUCUGUACUUAAGCAAUAAGAGUGCCCCUAACUGCUCUGUGUAAGCUGAGGAUGGUGGCCCUGUUUUUUGUGUUUGUUUCUUUUUUCUGGAAGGAACGUGCACAAAUGAAACUUGUGCACUGCUGUGAUGUGCAUCACUCUUGUCCCAGAAGAAAAGAAAAAGAAUAGUUUUAAUUUUUUACUCUCCAGUAUUAUGUUGACUGUGACCUUCUAGCCUUUGAAUGAAGAAUUGUGUUUAUGAACUGAUUUUAUUUUUCCGUUGCCGUGCAGCUAUUCAACCCCGAUUUUUGUUUUUGAGUGCACUAGUUUUCACUAAAACUUAUCAUAAAUGUUAGCAUGCCUUUUUAGGCAACUUCUAAAUGCACGCAGUGUUCAAUACGUGUGUUUAAUGAAGGCACUAAACCCCCCCCCCC